GCAGGAAAUCUCUUCAAAUCUCUGUGCUGUUUUUGUAUCACUUUUUAUUAAAUACUUUUUGAAGGAUAUUGAAAAAUAUGAGAAAUGUCCCAAUGAUUUCAUUGUCAUGGAACAUAAAUGGUUCAGUAACAAGGAUGCCACAAUGGAAAGAAAUAAAUGGCACAGAACUUUGCACACAUUGUUUACUCUGCAUUGUUCUAAAUUUAUCUCUUACACAAAGGAAUAUAAAACUUCUAUAUACAAUGUUUUUAAGGUGAUGCAAUAAUCUGUGGUUGCAAAUUGACCAAUGCUGCACAUAUAGACACAACAGAAUCAAUAUAUGGUUUCAUUGUUAAUAGGAUUACACCUUGUAAUAUACCAAAUGACUUCAGUCGUUGAAUAAUUCUUUCAAUGUGAA